AUAAAGAGCGUGCUAACUUAUAUAUGUAUAUGCAGUUAAAGAAAAUGUCAUCCAAGACUUUGCUUCUGUUAGGUCUCUUUGCAUUUCUUCUAGUUGUCUCAGAAAUGGCCGCGGCAUCUGCAAGGCAGUCGGGUACCUUAAACUAUUUUAUAGAAACCAAAAAGAAUUCGUCAGCCUAUUUUGUUCGUUUUAAGUUUAGGAAGUUGGUAUAUUAUUUUUUGAAAUACUAAGUAAACAAACUUACGAUGUCAAAUCCUUGUUAUAUACGUAUUAGACUAUCCCAAAAUAUUUUAGAAGUUUGAUGCGAUUUUAUAUAGAACAUCAGUUUUAUGUUUCUUGGUUUUUUGAAAAAUAGAAAUUCCAAUUUAUAUUCAAAAUUUAAAAGGUUUUAAUAGAAAUUUAACAUCAAAAUGAGGAGACGGAAUGUACAUAGCACUAGGCACGUGCUAAACAAAAUCUUUGAAAUAAUGUGGUGUUUUUGGGGGCAGGCAUGGUGAAGUCAGCGUGCUAGGCUAUCCGCCUUUGUAUUCUGCGCUCUUGGUACACGUACACACUUACGUGUGUGUAUGACGAUAAAAUAAACUUGGUGCUUUUGUAAUAAAGUGACUCAAGUUUAAGAAAAUAAACUAUGGGAAUAAAAUGUCAUAAUGCCAUAUCUCUGUGUUCGAGUUGAUUUGUGCAACACCAUCUCCAUC
rnacentral:lncRNA from 1 species